AGGGGCGAGCGGCCCGGAUGGCCGCGCGAGGUAUAACGGGCCAUGGAUGGCCCGUGUAUGCCGACCCU
rfam:Pseudomonas hussainii strain JCM 19513 genome assembly, contig: Ga0104663_118